rnacentral:lncRNA from 1 species
CGGGACUGGACGGACAGCUGCAAGGGUCCCGCCCCGUGCCUGACGUCGGGGGCGAGCCGGGCCUGCGCGGUAGUGGGACCCGACCCUGUCUCCAGUGGGCGUCUUGGGCCCCGGCUCUAUUCUGGGCUGCGGGCCUGGGAAGGGCUCGCCGGGUGCCAAAUGAGCUGUCCUAACUCUGCGGGGCUGCAGCUUCCUGCAUGAUGCUGGGGAGCUUGGCGCCUGACCCAGGAUCUAGAAGGCACUCUGGGCAGGCCGCGCUCCGCCCACGAAGGUCUGGCUUACCACACGCUCCUCCCCAUUCCCAGUGAGCCGCUUUUUGCAGCACCAGGCGAACACUUACACCAGUGCUUUGUAAAGGAAUCUUAUUGUCCACCCCGUGUCUUGGCAAAAGAACAGUGAUCACACAGAUUCCUACUUGGGCUCUUUCCUUUAAUCUUCGGAGGCUGAGUUUGCCCAACUCAGGUUUAACCACCAAGGACUCUGAGAGCUGGCAGGUCUGAGUAACCCUGGUAACAAUUCUCUUCACCUUAUCAAAACCUGAGCUAAAACCAAUGCAUCAGCUGAUGAUGACAGCAGAGAGUGGCAGGGCUGAGGACCCAAAGUCAUUUCCCAGGCUGGCGGAGAGUUUUUUUCUCAGUCAACUGAAUUCUUUUUCUCCACUUUGUUUUGCCACUCUUAAUGCAUGCAUGAGAGGC